GUCUCCCUCAUCUCCUUCCCUCUGGUCCCAGGAAUACCGAGUCAUGAGGAAGAUCCUGCUGCUCCAGGAGGCUGCCAAGAAUUACAACCUAGAACCCGAGGGAGCAAUUUGUGGCCUGGUUCCAAGACAUGGAGUUGCUCAACGAGAAUGAGAGCUACAACCUGUCCUGCCAGCCAGAGCCCUAGACCUAGUUGGCCUGCAAAAUACGCAAGGCCAAGAAGAACCGGCCAUCAUCAAGGUCUGGGGUCAAAGACCAAGGGAAGAGGUCGUCAAGAGGUCAAGUCUAAUCUACCUAUGGAUGUGGCAGCCUUAACUAUGGAUGUUCAAACCAGACAUUGCCAGCAGAACCACAUCUCUUCACCCAUAGGUGAGUUUUUACUAGUAAUCACAGAGACUUGAGGAUAUCAAAGGAAAUUCUUUAUUAAGAACCAAAGUUAUAGAUCCCUAUCUUGGGUUCAUUACUUUGAAUUUUUGACCCAAAUCAUAUGCAUCUAUUGGACCAUGUUCAAUUUUAUGAUCUUUAGAAGAUGCAGCCUACAGCUGAAGAGAAACAGAUACAACACCAAUAUCUUACCCUCUCUGAAGCACAACUGAGAGCCCCUGGAGUCAGAA